rnacentral:rRNA from 1 species
UACGUAGGGUGCGAGCGUUGUCCGGAAUUAUUGGGCGUAAAGGGCUCGUAGGCGGUUUGUCGCGUCGGGAGUGAAAACCUUGGGCUUAACUCAGGGCUUGCUUUCGAUACGGGCAGACUAGAGGUAUGCAGGGGAGAACGGAAUUCCUGGUGUAGCGGUGAAAUGCGCAGAUAUCAGGAGGAACACCGGUGGCGAAGGCGGUUCUCUGGGCAUGAUCUGACGCUGAGGCACGAAGGCCAGGGGAGCAAACGGG